UAUAUUACUUUGUUUAACAUAUACACUUACCAGACCAUCAUGUUUGUUGUGGCACAUACACAGUCGCCGAGUGUGCUGGGAUCUGGUGGACAGAUGGGCGUGAUGUCUGAUAGUUGUGACCUCCCUACGGUUCCUGAAACUCCGUCGACAGAGAUUAUACAUGGAGUCUGACCAAUACCAAAAUCUUCCAAUGUGCCAGAGUCACCAGCUGCGAUUCUCACUCAAAGAGAUCACAGUCUACAGAAGUGUUCAAGACUUGAGCAACAAGUUGACACAAGUUUCCUGGAUGUGUCUCACUAAGAUGAGACACAGAUCAACGCUUCCAGGAUAGAUGAGACAUUUUUUGCUGCAGCAGAGACUGAGCACAAACCUACAAAUAAACCAUCUUUACAGUGUGGGAUCUGAGGGAAGAUUGUCUAGACCUAAGGCUCCUUGAACCUGCAAGUAAGGCGCCACACUAAAGAUGUCAAAUUCUCAUGUGAAUUGUGUGGGAAGUCUUUCCUUAUCAACCAAACGCUGAAGUUUGCUAAAGUACACAAACAGACUGGUGUUGUCAAGUGCAAGGUUUGCAGUAAAGUUACAUUUCGGGGUAUCUGGUAUGCACGAGCAUAUGAAGGAGCAUGUGACAAGUCUUUCUCUACCCAAAAAAAAGUGAAGCCAAAGAAUUUGAAUGUGGUGAUUGUGAGAAGUGGUUCGCUUCCAAGGGAAAAAAUCCACAGUCUGCUCCAUGAUGAGCAUGCACCCAAAUACAGGUUGUGGUAAACUCAUAACAAUCUGUCAUGACAUUUCUUUAUUGGUAGAAUGAAUGACCAUGGCCAGUUGUCAGAUUCCCAACUACGUAAUUUGGAAACCCGAAUUAUAUUUGCCACUAUAACCAUACCACCUUUGCUUAUUUGAUGUUCAUUUGUUUAGAUUUACUCAUAGAAUUUCCUCAAAGUUCUUUUUCUGGUGUUAGAGGUUGUAAAUUCUUGUUGAUGUUGGAAAAUACUUGUGCAUGCUUGUAAUGUUUGUUCAUGUGACUUUGUGUUCUGGAAGUAGUAGGAAGGAUGCUUGCCAGGCUAACCAGGUUAGCUAUGUGAUAAUGGCAAAGAUAACUAACAAAUAAGUGCAAUGAUCUGUAUUUUAAUGUUGUUUUUAUCAACCAUGUUAACUUCUAAUAAAGAUAUAUUUACAGCCA